rnacentral:lncRNA from 1 species
AUGGGUGUUGACAUUUGCCACAACAAGGACCGAAAGUUUCAGCCCAAGGAGCCCAAGAACCAAGACAUUUAUCUGUGUCUGUUAGUCAAGCUAUACAGGUUUCUGGUCAGAUGGACCAACUCUACCUCCAAUCAGCUUCUGCUGAAAAGUUUUUUGUUUGUUUGUUUGUUUGUUUGUUUGUUUGUUUUUUAUGAGUUGUACUAACCAACCACCUCUGUCCCUGUCACAGAUGAUCUAAAAGAUAAAGCUUCCUGGUCAGAGAAACAAAGGAGCUGUGGUUUGGGGGAUGGCCACUGAUGAUGUAUGGAUUCUGAAAGUGCUCAAGCUGAAUGUGUGUGAACUGUGGGUGAGAGACCAGCCUGAAGUCACAUCCUCAAAGCUGGGGAUAAGAUUUUCACCUAUGACUAGGUGGUCCUGGGGUCUCUGAAGAACGGAGGCACUCUGCUCCUUUCUGGUCCUCAAAAGUGCCAAGAAGUUUACAGGUAUUGUGGCAAGGCCUGAGAAAUCCCAUACAGCCACAUCAAACUCUAUGUCUGCUCAAAGGGCCGGAAGUUCAAGCUUGCCAGAGGCUGAAAGGCAAGCUGAGGCUACAGA